UCACCCCUCAAGCCCCGGGCUUGGUGUUGGACGGCCUGGUCGGAUCUCGAUUCGACCCCUCCUAAAGACAAUGACGGCGGCCUGUGGUUCCCCCGGUACACUGAGCUUUUCACCGAGCACGUGCUGGACAAGGGCGCCCGGGUCACGGUCCUCUCCCUCCACGGGAAUAUUAAUCAA
rnacentral:misc_RNA from 2 species